CGGCUCCCGCGGUGGCCGGAUGUGCGCCGCGGGAGCUCUCGUCGGUUGCCGUCUUCUGCAGCUCCUACUGCUUCAUGUCCUCUAUAAGCCGCUCUUCGUUUUCGUCUGUUGCUUAUCGCCUCACAGCCAACUCACUCCCACCCCGACAUGGGUCUGAGCCCCCGACGGCAGAGAUUCGUGUCUGUUUUUAACUCGUGAGUAAGAAACGUAAAUUGCCCAGAACCGUGCCUGGCGGGAGUUAACAACUGUACGUGUCGACUGUUACUAUUUUGUUCAGGCAGCAUCUGGGGCGCCUAAAACAGGCCUGGGACACAGUAGGAACUCAGUGUUUCUCGAAUGAAUGAAUGCAUGAAUGAGGUUCUUGCCAGAACCUUAUGACAAAGAAAGGAAACAGAUUUUCUGUGGUUAGUGAAGCUGUGUCAGUAAAUGCUUCUGAGUAGGGCACUGAGCUGGACGCUGGAGGUAGAGAUUCUUAGCAGAGAGAGGCUUUUAGGGCAACAGGGAAAAAAGGAGAGCUAAUUGUAUGUAUGUAUGUAUAACAUAAAUAGCAAAGAACCACAUGGCUAGCAGUGACAGAAAGUGCUAAUGUAAUCACUUUUGCCUCUCACCAGUAGGCACUCUGGGUUGUUUUAUUAUACUAAUUUUUACCUAGCAUCCAAUUUCAGCAUCACAAACAUCAGUGGCCAAAUGACUUGAGGUUAUAUUGGAUUUUUCAGGGAAUACAGAGCUAAAAAACACAGCACUCUGUUCCCUGGAAAUAAUGCAGGUAGAAAUUAAAAUGUGAAAUGAAAAGGAAAAUGGAGUGUUUGUGAUCUCAUUGAGAAUGUUUUAGCUCACAUGCUUCACUCUUAGGUUGUUUUUGUUUCCUGGGAAUUUUUGCUGGUUGGUUGUUUCGAGUUUUGUAGGAGUCGUUGGGGCUUACUUGGAUAUCAGAUCUGGGAUAUUUGCUAUUGGACUUGGAAUGAGACCAAUGGGGUUAACAGUUUUCUGUUUUCUGACAUUUUAGCUACUCCAUUUUCAUGUUCUUCACAUUUUUAGUGUUACUAGCAAAAGAUGGAAUUCAACAUACUUAGAGUCCUUAAUCACUUAACACAUCUUUUGGGGAAGGUACAAAACAUUAAUUAUACAGGAUUAUUGCUAGGACAUAACCUUUUCUAUUAACAGAAAUCCAGUCACUCUGAGGCAUCCACUGAAUAACUUGAGGGUUUAAAAGAUGUAUGUACCAACUAAAUUGUACAUAUUCAAAUAAGGAAGUAUAAUUUAGCCGAAUAAUCAGUCAUUAAUAUCAUUUAAAAUUUACAUCUCCAAAAAUGUAUAUAUUUGGGGGCCUGGAUAGCAACGUGUUUUACUUUCUAACUCUGUAUGGGUAAAACCUCCCCUAGAAGAUGGCUUUUGGGGCAGAAGACAUAAUCCUUGUUGGUGCCCCUUGUAGUCUUGUUUAUUUGGUGUGUCUAAGUCUGACUGUACAUGCAUAUCUAUCUCAUAUGGAGCACCUUUGUGGAUUUUCUUUUUAAAUUCAUUUGUUGCCUUUCAGUUUUACGGUGACAAAACUUUGCAUGUGUAACUAUUUUUUAAAAAUUCUAUUUCCGGGGCACCUGGGUGGCUCAGUCGGUUAAGC
rnacentral:lncRNA from 1 species